CUGAUGUGGGGGAUAACCAUUGGAAACGAUGGCUAAUACCGCAUGAUGCCUACGGGCCAAAGAGGGGGACCUUCGGGCCUCUCGCGUCAGGAUAUGCCUAGGUGGGAUUAGCUAGUUGGUGAGGUAAGGGCUCACCAAGGCGACGAUCCCUAGCUGGUCUGAGAGGAUGAUCAGCCACACUGGAACUGAGACACGGUCCAGACUCCUACGGGAGGCAGCAGUGGGGAAUAUUGCACAAUGGGCGCAAGCCUGAUGCAGCCAUGCCGCGUGUGUGAAGAAGGCCUUCGGGUUGUAAAGCACUUUCAGUCGUGAGGAAGGUAGUGUAGUUAAUAGCUGCAUUAUUUGACGUUAGCGACAGAAGAAGCACCGGCUAACUCCGUGCCAGCAGCCGCGGUAAUACGGAGGGUGCGAGCGUUAAUCGGAAUUACUGGGCGUAAAGCGCAUGCAGGUGGUUUGUUAAGUCAGAUGUGAAAGCCCGGGGCUCAACCUCGGAAUUGCAUUUGAAACUGGCAGACUAGAGUACUGUAGAGGGGGGUAGAAUUUCAGGUGUAGCGGUGAAAUGCGUAGAGAUCUGAAGGAAUACCGGUGGCGAAGGCGGCCCCCUGGACAGAUACUGACACUCAGAUGCGAAAGCGUGGGGAGCAAACAGGAUUAGAUACCCUGGUAGUCCACGCCGUAAACGAUGUCUACUUGGAGGUUGUGGCCUUGAGCCGUGGCUUUCGGAGCUAACGCGUUAAGUAGACCGCCUGGGGAGUACGGUCGCAAGAUUAAAACUCAAAUGAAUUGACGGGGGCCCGCACAAGCGGUGGAGCAUGUGGUUUAAUUCGAUGCAACGCGAAGAACCUUACCUACUCUUGACAUCCAGAGAACUUUCCAGAGAUGGAUUGGUGCCUUCGGGAACUCUGAGACAGGUGCUGCAUGGCUGUCGUCAGCUCGUGUUGUGAAAUGUUGGGUUAAGUCCCGCAACGAGCGCAACCCUUAUCCUUGUUUGCCAGCGAGUAAUGUCGGGAACUCCAGGGAGACUGCCGGUGAUAAACCGGAGGAAGGUGGGGACGACGUCAAGUCAUCAUGGCCCUUACGAGUAGGGCUACACACGUGCUACAAUGGCGCAUACAGAGGGCAGCCAACUUGCGAAAGUGAGCGAAUCCCAAAAAGUGCGUCGUAGUCCGGAUUGGAGUCUGCAACUCGACUCCAUGAAGUCGGAAUCGCUAGUAAUCGUGGAUCAGAAUGCCACGGUGAAUACGUUCCCGGGCCUUGUACACACCGCCCGUCACACCAUGGGAGUGGGCUGCAAAAGAAGUAGGUAGU
rnacentral:rRNA from 1 species